GGAUUACCUCAGUAACGGCGAGUGAAGCGGUAACAGCUCAAAUUUGAAAGCUGCCAACAGGCCGCGUUGUAAUUUGUAGAAGAUGCUUUGGGGGUAGGCCUAGUCUAAGUUCCUUGGAACAGGACGUCAUAGAGGGUGAGAAUCCCGUAUGUGAUUAGUGCCUUCUCCCGUGUAAAGCUCUUUCGACGAGUCGAGUUGUUUGGGAAUGCAGCUCAAAAUGGGUGGUAUAUUUCAUCUAAAGCUAAAUAUUGGCCAGAGACCGAUAGCGCACAAGUAGAGUGAUCGAAAGAUGAAAAGCACUUUGGAAAGAGAGUUAAACAGUACGUGAAAUUGUUGAAAGGGAAGCGCUUGCAACCAGACUUGCAGGCGGUCGAUCAUCCGAGGUUCUCCCCGGUGCACUCGAUCGUCUUCAGGCCAGCAUCGGUUUUGGUGGCGGGAUAAAGGCUCUAGGAAUGUGGCUCUUCGGAGUGUUAUAGCCUAGGGUGCAAUGCCGCCUACCGGGACCGAGGACCGCGCUUCGGCUAGGAUGCUGGCGUAAUGGUUGUAAGCGGCCCGUCUUGAAACACGGACCAAGGAGUCUAACAUCUAUGCGAGUGUUUGGGUGUCAAACCCAUACGCGUAAUGAAAGUGAACGGAGGUGAGAGCCCUUUAGGGCGCAUCAUCGACCGAUCCUGAUGUCUUCGGAUGGAUUUGAGUAAGAGCAUAGCUGUUGGGACCCGAAAGAUGGUGAACUAUGCGUGAAUAGGGUGAAGCCAGAGGAAACUCUGGUGGAGGCUCGCAGCGGUUCUGACGUGCAA
rnacentral:rRNA from 1 species